rnacentral:rRNA from 1 species
AGCAGCCGCGGUAAUUCCAGCUCCAAUAGCGUAUAUUAAAGUUGUUGCAGUUAAAAAGCUCGUAGUUGAAUUUCGGGGUUAGCAGGUCGGUCGUGCCAUCGGUAUGAACUGGUCUCGCUGAUCCCUCCCUCUUGACGAACUGUGAUGCCAUUAAUUUGGUGUCGCAGGGAAUCAGGACUGUUACUUUGAAAAAAUUAGAGUGUUUAAAGCAGGCUCACGCUUGAAUACAUUAGCAUGGAAUAAUGAAAUAGGACGUUUGAUCCUAUUUUGUUGGCUUCUAGGAUUGACGUAAUGAUUAAUAGGGAUAGUUGGGGGCAUUAGUAUUCAAUUGUCAGAGGUGAAAUUCUUGGAUUUAUUGAAGACUAACUACUGCGAAAGCAUUUGCCAAGGAUGUUUUCAUUAAUCAAGAACGAAAGUUAGGGGAUCGAAGACGAUCAGAUACCGUCGUAGUCUUAACCAUAAACUAUGCCGACUAGGGAUCGGAUGAUGUUAAUUUUUUUAAUGACUCAUUCGGCGCCUU